GGGCGGUUAGCUCAGUGGUUAGAGCGCCUCGUUCACACCGAGGAGGUCGGAGGUUCAAAUCCUCCAUCGCCCACCA
rnacentral:tRNA from 2 species